rnacentral:rRNA from 1 species
GGCCAAGUUAUUAAGGGCGCACGGUGGAUGCCUUGGCACCAGGAGCCGAUGAAGGACGUGGGAGGCUGCGAUAUGCCUCGGGGAGCUGCCAACCUAGCUGUGAUCCGAGGAUUUCCGAAUGGGGAAACCCGGCAGGGCUUUAAAUCCUGUCACCCUUGCCUGAACACAUAGGGCAUGUGGAGGGAACGCGGGGAAGUGAAACAUCUCAUUACCCGCAGGAAGAGAAAACAACCGUGAUUCCGCGAGUAGUGGCGAGCGAAAGCGGAUCAGGCUAAACCAAUGUCGUGUGAUAGCCGGCAGGCGUUGCGAUGUUGGGGUCGUGGGAGCAUUCGGACAGGACUGCCGUUCUGUCAGGGAGUCAGAAAAAACGCUGUUAGGCGAAGGUCAUGUGAAUGGGCCGCCAUAGAGGGUAACAGCCCUGUAGCUGAAAACAGUUUUUCUCCCGAGUGUUUUCCCAAGUAGCACGGAGCCCGUGAAAUUCCGUGUGAAUCUGGCGGGACCACCCGCUAAGCCUAAAUACUCCCUGGUGACCGAUAGCGGACUAGUACCGAAAAGUACCCCGGGAGGGGAGUGAAAUAGUACCUGAAACCGUGUGCCUACAAUCCGUGGGAGCUGGACUUCGGUCUGGUGACCGCGUGCCUUUUGAAGAAUGAGCCUGCGAGUUUGCGAUGUGUGGCGAGGUUAACCCGUCGUGGGGUAGCCGUAGCGAAAGCGAGUCCGAAUAGGGCGUCUGAGUCGCAUGUCCAAGACCCGAAGCCGAGUGAUCUACCCAUGGCCAGGUUGAAGCGCGGGUAAGACCGUGUGGAGGACCGAACCCACCAGGGUUGAAAACCUGGGGGAUGAGCUGUGGGUAGGGGUGAAAGGCCAAUCAAACUCGGUGAUAGCUGGUUCUCCCCGAAAUGCAUUUAGGUGCAGCGUCACAUGUUUCUUGCCGGAGGUAGAGCACUGGAUGGCCUAGGGGGCCCACAAGCUUACUGAAGUCAGCCAAACUCCGAAUGCCGGUAAGUGAAGUGUGGCAGUGAGACUGCGGGGGAUAAGCUUCGUAGUCGAGAGGGAAACAGCCCAGAUCGCC